rnacentral:rRNA from 1 species
UAAGGAAUAUUGGUCAAUGGACGCAAGUCUGAACCAGCCAUGCCGCGUGAAGGAUGAAGGUCCUCUGGAUUGUAAACUUCUUUUAUAGGGGACGAAAUCUAUUUUUCUAAGUAGUCUGACGGUACCCUAGGAAUAAGCACCGGCUAACUCCGUGCCAGCAGCCGCGGUAAUACGGAGGGUGCAAGCGUUAUCCGGAUUCACUGGGUUUAAAGGGUGCGUAGGCGGGCAGGUAAGUCAGUGGUGAAAUCUCCGAGCUUAACUUGGAAACUGCCAUUGAUACUAUCUGUCUUGAAUAUUGUGGAGGUGAGCGGAAUAUGUCAUGUAGCGGUGAAAUGCUUAGAUAUGACAUAGAACACCAAUUGCGAAGGCAGCUCGCUACACAAAUAUUGACGCUGAGGCACGAAAGCGUGGGGAUCAAACA